rnacentral:rRNA from 1 species
GUCUUGUAAUUGGAAUGAUGGCGACUUAAACCCUCGCCAGAGUAACAAUUGGAGGGCAAGUCUGGUGCCAGCAGCCGCGGUAAUUCCAGCUCCAAUAGCGUAUAUUAAACUUGUUGCAGUUAAAAAGCUCGUAGUUGAAUUUCUGCGUUGCGUUGUUCUUGCUUUUUGCUUGAUUUUCGCUUCGCUUUUUGUUUUUACUUUGAGAAAAUUAGAGUGUUUAUCGCAGACUUUUGUCUUGAAUACUUCAGCAUGGAAUAACAUAGUAGGACCUUGGUUCUAUUUUGUUGGUUUGGGACCUUGGUAAUGGUUAAUAGGAACGGUUGGGGGCAUUCGUAUUUAACUGUCAGAGGUGAAAUUCUUAGAUUUGUUAAAGACGAACUACUGCGAAAGCAUUUGCCAAGGACGUUUUCAUUAAUCAAGAACGAAAGUUAGGGGAUCGAAGACGAUCAGAUACCGUCGUAGUCCUAACCAUAAACUA